AGGAAGGUCAGUCCUGUGAGUAGGGUGUGGGUGGCACAGGCCCUGUUAGGGCAGCCGAUGGACAGAGAGCAAGAGAACAGCCAUCUUGAGUGGCCUGACCCUACAGGACACAUCUUGCUAAGGGAUGCACAAAAUAAAUCCAGACAAAACCCAGAUGCUUGCAGACAGUUCCAAGCUCUGGCGGCCGGAUGCCAAAAAGCUGAAUGCAAUUCCUGGGGCAUUUCCUUACUAUCUGAGCCACCAGGGAAGCCCCGCUUUUAUACGAGAAGUGGACAUAACUCUCCUUCUGUCAGGCCAUUCAUGUCAGACUUUGAAUCAGUCUUAUCAGGUAGGAGACCAUCGUCAUUAGAUUUCAGGCUACUUGGCUGCCCUGCCACCUCAAGUCUCUGAGGGAUUCACGGUGUCUGUACUUCAGAUUAUUUGCCUUAGGAAAGCAUCUCCAAAUGGAAUGAAAAGAAGCCCCCAAGACUCACGACUGGUGAGUGAUGGCAGUCUAAACAUCCACCCAGGUUUGCCAGCUUGUAGCCUGUCGUUCUGUCACGAAGCACCCCGCCAUGUGGCCUGGCCCCAAGGAGCUGCUCCUGGCGUGGAAGGGCCCGCCGUGUACCUCGAGCUUGGCAGAGUUGUGUCAGCGCCCCUCACAGG
ensembl:lncRNA